UGGAAGCUGGUGCGCUAUCUUCAAUCCACA
rnacentral:piRNA from 1 species